rnacentral:lncRNA from 1 species
AAAAAGAUGAUGCAUGUGAACCUCUACAUAUGGUUGUUGGAUGCUUACAUUUGUUUAAUGGAACUAAAACAUUUAUUCUCUUUUUCUUCAUCCUUCCAUCAACUGUCCUCCAUGCCCAACCAGUUUCUACCCUGCUGAUUUUCUGCCUUUAGAAACAAAGAAGAAUUCAGCUUUUCUUCAUGAUGUAGGAUGCUGUAUGUACUUGGAGCCAUCCUCAGUCACAGCUGCCUUUUCGUGGAUCCAAGAUGGUUCUCUACCUGGCUGGUGCCAUGCCGCCUGCUAUUUUACUGUACACAUGAUGACAAAGUAAAGGGAAGAUGUGGCCUCCAUGUUGAACAUGGCUGACUCUCAGCAGGGAUUCUGUUCAGUGUCUGGGCUUCUGCUGCUGCUCUGCUCCCUUUGAGAAAAGGAAGGAAAACGGGAAACAGAAUGACACUGGGGACCCACUAUGUGCCUCUCCCCUUGGAAGAAGU